AACUGUGAGUGUGUGCUGCACAUGUCUGACACCAGCUAAUAAAUCAGUGAAUUCAUCCGCUUUCCGCAAGCACUUGUUCUCCUAUCGACUGAAUGAUGUUUGUACGUGUCCACGUGUGUGUUCGUGCACGUUCGAGCCUGUCGCGGACUCGCUGGCUUUAAAACACCAUCAUCCCGCAACCUGCCAGACGAGUCCCACCAGUUUUGUUGAAAAAGUGGAAGAGGCUCCAUAUCGUGGCACGCCGUUGUCUUUUUAAGAUAAUGAGGGGAUGGAGGUGUGUGUCACACACUUAUCAACAAGCAUUUUCCUUCUCAAAGGACAAUGUAAUAGAGCCUUGGGACGAGAAAGCUGAGUCCACAGAGGAGAUGCCUGACAGUCUCUUGCUGGUGUUGUCUUUGCUCUCAAGGGACUCCUCUUUGACAUUGCUAAAACUGCGUGAGAAGCCGGGGUCGAUCUGACACAGCAACUCAGAGAGGCUGCAGUCUUUCUCAGGUAUGCCAGCGGAAGAAGAUUUGUGAACAUUCAUGCAUAGAGAUCCAUCUGAUAUUACCUGUUCACUGGAGGCUGGAGCAGGGCAGGGGGAACAUUCUGGUUCUGAAGAAAUGGAAGCUCUGGAUUCAUCAUGAGGUUUGGUGCACAG